rnacentral:tRNA from 1 species
CCUAUGAUAGCUCAAUUGGUAGAGCGGAGGACUGUAGAUCCUUAGGUCGCUGGUUCGAAUCCGGCUCGAAGGA